GUGGGUAUCUACCCUUUGGCCUGGAAUAACACGAGGAAACUUGUGCUAAUACCGGAUAAGUCUUUACGGAGAAAGCUUUAUGCACCAUUGGAUGAGCCCGCACUUGAUUAGUUUGUUGGUAGGGUAAUGGCCUACCAAGACUAUGAUCAAUAGCUGAUUUGAGAGGAUGAUCAGCCACAUUGGGACUGAGACACGGCCCAAACUCCUACGGGAGGCAGCAGUGGGGAAUCUUGCACAAUGGAGGAAACUCUGAUGCAGCGAUGCCGCGUGAGUGAAGAAGGCCUUUGGGUUGUAAAGCUCUUUCGUCGGGGAAGAAAAUGACUGUACCCGAAUAAGA
rnacentral:rRNA from 1 species